CAUAUUAGUUUUUGCCCAUAACACUUGAAUUUUCCGGCCCAAUCAUUAUUUUAUCCCUAUAAAAUAGCUUUAAAAUAAGAACGGAGAGUUCCUAUUUUGCUUUGGCAUUGGAGUGUCAGGUGGUAUCAGACAUGGAAGCUGCAAGACUGUUUAUGACCUAACCACAGAAGUUCUGCAAAGUUGUGUUGGUCAAGCAAAUUGUUAAGAUCACAAGUAGGCAGAGAGGCUGGCAGAGAGAGAUGGGGGAGAAGCAGGCUCCCUGCUGAGCAGAGGGCCCGAUGCAGGACUCGAUCCCAAGACCCUGAGAUCAUGACCUGAGCGGAAGGCAGAGGCUUAACCCACUGAGCCACUCAGGACACCUGGGAUCCUUAUGCAAGUGAACCAUGUCUCAUCUCCUUUCUACUAACACCCAGAUGCACCGCUCAAAUCCUCAUUCAGGAUCCUGUUACAUGCACCAGCGCUGUAUGUAGGACACAGAGCUGAUGACGGUGAGCAAUGUUUUGGCACCUUCUCCACCCACGGACAGUGUCAUGAAGUUCAGUAUUGAGGUUGAGCAUGGCUUUGAGAUUUUCAGUGGUAAGAUGGCUGCUGUGCCUCUGCUACCUGUUCUAUCCGCAUUCCAAGUCAGAAUGAACCAGAAAGAAGAACAAAAGGAACAAAGCUCAGUGCCAGG